AUGCUCCUCGGCCCUACAGCAUCCCCAGCAGCAGCUCUUUUGGGUCAUUCGCUCCUGGUCAUUUUUCUGCUGCAGCGAGAUGCACCCCCAGGCAACAGGGGGGUGCUCCGAGGCGGCUGCAGGCUGGUUUCAAGCACCCAGGGUCAGCCCCGUCCCGGGUCCCAGAGGGCAGGGGGCGAGGCGAGGGCCUCACCUGCUCUCGGCUGCUGCCUUUCUUACGGUGCUGGUGGAGAGGGAGGGCGCACGGCGGCCCCCGCCGCUCCUGGGGCCUGUGCGGGGGAUCUGUUGGAAAGUGGUUCUGGUUUAAUGGCCCCUUGGCACGGCCCGGAGACUCCGCUCUGUAUGCAAUACUUUCCUUCAUUACUUACAGUAAGUACUUCAGUAGUCUCUGAUAAUAUUGUAUUUGACAGAAAUCAUGGAAAUUAUGAUCAUGGCCAAAUGCUCCCUGCACGGGAACUUGCUAACCAAAGCAGAUCCGUUUUCCAGCUUGUGACCAGCGGCUCCCCCUUCCUCAGCGAAGUUUCUCCCGCUUCCCCUUCGGCGAGGAGCCGGGACGGGCCGCAAGCACCGGCGGGACCCCGGUGCCUGGUGCCCGGUACCCGGUGCCCGGUGCCCGCUGCGGGCUGCUCCCAGCAGGAGAGAAAAACCGCCACCCGCACGGCUUGCCGCGGAGAUCCGGAUUCGACCCCAAAAAAGAGAGAAGAGGCGAAGAAACAAGGCGCUUGGAGCCGCGCAGUCCGGGCACGCAACCCGACGGCAAAACCCGGUGCGGCACCACGGGCACUGCGCGGCCGCGCAGGAGCGGGGGCUCACCGGGGCCGCCCCCCGGGGCCACGGCGGGGAACCGGCGGACGAGGGGCCGCGGAGAGCCAGGAAAGUAGGGCUGGAGUGAGCUGUACUCAGGACUUUUUAUUAUUAUUAUUUAAUGCAGGGUCUCGCCAAUUUCAGAAAUGAUAUCGCUGAAGUGAAUUUAGACGGAAAGUGUUUUUUUUUUUUUUUUAAUUCAAAAUAAUUAAACUUGCCCUUUCUCUAAACCACAAGAGACCUGUUGAAUUGAUUCUAAGUUUCCCUCUCGUUGAUGGAGCAAAACGGCAUGCAGAAGUCUGCGGGGCCCCAUAUUUAAUGAUAAAUUAUACAAUUUAUGUUGGAAGCAAAAGGAUAAAUAGAGAUUUCGGUUGUUGCAUUAAUUCGUUGUCUGAAGCUGGGAAGGCCUUAUCCACGCUUAAUCCGAAAGUAUUUCUCUCCCCUUCGAGCAAUAGAAAAGCAGCUGUGUAUAUCGAAAUGCGCGUGUUACGUUCAGGAGCGUGUGCCCGAGGCCCGGUGCGGCUACCGGGACCCGCUCCCGCACAUCCGCAGCGCUGCGGGAGCCACCGCGGCAAAUGUGUGCAGCGUGGAGAGCGCCGGCAAUGCCUGGGGACACGGCCCUCCCCACCGCGGUCUGCUCCCCUGCGCUCAGGACAGGAGGGCACAUGCACACCUGUACGCCCAGAAUACAUUAAACCCAUUAAAUACACACAAUCAAGAUAAAUGAGGUGUCUUCCUCGGGUUUUCUUUUCUUAAAAUAAACACUGUCACGUCUGCUUAUUCA
rnacentral:lncRNA from 1 species